CUCAUAUUGGAUAAACGAGGGAAAGUCAAAGAAGCGGCAACGAAACAACGAUGUAAAGUUUUAAGAUGUGUCAACCUUCCUCUUUAUUGGACUGCUGGACACAAGAAAACAGCGAGUUGGCAAAUAAAUGUGAGGAAGAAGGUCUAAAUGCUUUGAGCCAAGACCACAACCAGACCAGCGUGAGAUGGUGUUCCUCUGAGUUCCACAAGCUUUUAAGAAAAAUCCAAGGCAUCCCUCCUCAUGCAGAUCAUCCAUCAGCUGGAGCUUUCGGUGGUGUACAAUGUUUGCAUCUGCUUUAUCUCUCAGGCUCGGUUCACUGAGGCUGAGCUUCUCCUCACGAAAGCCACAAAGAGAG